CAAUAGCGUAUAUUAAAGUUGUUGCGGUUAAAAAGCUCGUAGUUGGAUUUCUGCCGAGGACGACCGGUCCGCCCUCUGGGUGUGUAUCUGGUUUGGCCUGGGCAUCUUCUUGGAGAACGUAGCUGCACUUGACUGUGUGGUGCGGUGUCCAGGACUUUUACUUUGAGGAAAUUAGAGUGUUUCAAGCAGGCACACGCCUUGAAUACAUUAGCAUGGAAUAAUAAGAUAGGACCUCGGUUCUAUUUUGUUGGUUUCUAGAGCUGAGGUAAUGAUUAAUAGGGAUAGUUGGGGGCAUUCGUAUUUAACUGUCAGAGGUGAAAUUCUUGGAUUUGUUAAAGACAAACUACUGCGAAAGCAUUUGCCAAGGAUGUUUUCAUUGA
rnacentral:rRNA from 1 species